AUUGAACGCUAGCGGGAUGCUUUACACAUGCAAGUCGAACGGAGUGGCGGAAGGGUGAGUAAUAUAUCAGAACGUGCCCAGUAGCGGGGGAUAACUACUCGAAAGAGUGGCUAAUCCCGCAUACUAUUGGAGCGGCCGUUAUCGGAUUAGCUCAUGUGUGGGGUAACGGCGCACCAAGGCAACGAUGCGUAGCUGGUUUGAGAGGACGACCAGCCACACGGGGACUGAGACACGGCCCAGACUCCUACGUGAGGCAGCAGUGGGGAAGUUUGGAACAUGGGGGAAACCCUGAUCCAGCCAUCCCGCGUGAAUGAUGAAGGCCUUCGGGUUGUAAAGUACUUUUGGCAGAGAAGCGGUAUCUGCAGAAUAAGCACCGGCUAACUACGUGCCAGCCGCCGCGGUAAUAC
rnacentral:rRNA from 1 species